AUGGGCAGCUAGCUCUUUGCAAUUCUCACAUGAUUGCCCACCAAAGCUAAGCAGAGCUGCGCUUGGUCAGUACCUGGAUGGGAGACCACAUGGGAAAUCUAGGUUGCUGCUGAAA
rfam:Danio rerio chromosome 14 genomic contig CTG1748, GRCz11 reference primary assembly.